UUACGGCAAUAUCUCGUUGAAGAACCGGUUCACGUUUAAUCGAUCACCGAAGUUAAGCAGCGUUGAUCCUGAUCCUUAGUAGAAGUACUGAGAUGGGUGACCGCUUGGCAAUACCAGGAGCUGUAAG